GCCGAGAUGUUGGAACUGGUAGACAAUAGGGAUUUAAAAUCCCUUGUCCGUAAGGGCGUGAGGGUUCGACUCCCUCUCUCGGCA
rnacentral:tRNA from 1 species